UCUACCCUUAGGCCUGGGAUAACCCCGAGAAAUCGGGGCUAAUACCGGAUGAUGCAGCGGCACCGCAUGGUGAUGUUGUUAAAGUUUAUAUGGCGUCUAUGGAUGAGCUUGCGUCUGAUUAGCUUGUUGGUGAGGUAACGGCUUACCAAGGCUACGAUCAGUAGCUGGUCUGAGAGGAUGAUCAGCCACACUGGAACUGAGACACGGUCCAG
rnacentral:rRNA from 1 species